rnacentral:rRNA from 1 species
AGAGUUUGAUCCUGGCUCAGGAUGAACGCUAGCUACAGGCUUAACACAUGCAAGUCGAGGGGCAGCAUGGUCUUAGCUUGCUAAGGCCGAUGGCGACCGGCGCACGGGUGAGUAACACGUAUCCAACCUGCCGUCUACUCUUGGACAGCCUUCUGAAAGGAAGAUUAAUACAAGAUGGCAUCAUGAGUCCGCAUGUUCACAUGAUUAAAGGUAUUCCGGUAGACGAUGGGGAUGCGUUCCAUUAGAUAGUAGGCGGGGUAACGGCCCACCUAGUCUUCGAUGGAUAGGGGUUCUGAGAGGAAGGUCCCCCACAUUGGAACUGAGACACGGUCCAAACUCCUACGGGAGGCAGCAGUGAGGAAUAUUGGUCAAUGGACGAGAGUCUGAACCAGCCAAGUAGCGUGCAGGAUGACGGCCCUAUGGGUUGUAAACUGCUUUUGCGCGGGGAUAACACCCUCCACGUGCUGGAGGUCUGCAGGUACCGCGCGAAUAAGGACCGGCUAAUUCCGUGCCAGCAGCCGCGGUAAUACGGAAGGUCCGGGCGUUAUCCGGAUUUAUUGGGUUUAAAGGGAGCGUAGGCCGUGAGGUAAGCGUGUUGUGAAAUGUAGGCGCCCAACGUCUGCACUGCAGCGCGAACUGCCCCACUUGAGUGCGCGCAACGCCGGCGGAACUCGUCGUGUAGCGGUGAAAUGCUUAGAUAUGACGAAGAACCCCGAUUGCGAAGGCAGCUGGCGGGAGCGUAACUGACGCUGAAGCUCGAAAGCGCGGGUAUCGAACAGGAUUAGAUACCCUGGUAGUCCGCGCGGUAAACGAUGGAUGCCCGCUGUGGCGCGCCUGGCGUGCCGCGGCUAAGCGAAAGCAUUAAGCAUCCCACCUGGGGAGUACGCCGGCAACGGUGAAACUCAAAGGAAUUGACGGGGGCCCG